rnacentral:lncRNA from 1 species
GGACAUCCCUGGCUAUGAGAGGUGACUGCACUGAGCCUCGUAGGACUGCGAAUACCUGAACAUGAUUAAUGAUAGCAAGUGGACGAGAUGAUCUCCAGAGAUCCCAUCCAAGCCCUAAGAUUCUGUGCUUCUAUGAUUAAAUUCAUGACGAUUGUAUCCCUGUUGCAAACCUGCCUCUCAUUUUAUUUCUUCCAGGUGGGUUUUGUGCUGAGCCUUCCAAGUCCAGCAGAGAGAUCCCCCCCCACUGCUGAGGCACUUCACUGGAGAAUAAUUUAGACCCUUUUCCUAAGCCAGGAGACUGUUACGGAUCCUGCCAGCUGGUAAGUCUUUAAAUUCACUGAAGUCAAAUCAGCUGUGUGUCACUCUAUUUGGCCUAAAUUUGAAUGCAGCUCUGCCUUAAACACUUGGCAGGUGGGCAUCUGUAAGAGCCCAAACACAGACCUGAAUUAAGAGGGAUGGAUUUCACUUGAGGGAUGCUCACCCACAUACCUGAGAUCUCCAGGGGGUUUCCCAGCAGGUCUGUGCCCCAUUGACCUGUAGCUGAGCAUCCCCAGCCCAAAUCCAGGCACAACCUUUAUUUCAG